AGGGAUGUAGUUCAGUGGUAGAACAUCUCCCUUUGAUGCAGAAGGUCCCAGGUUCAAUCCCUGGGAUCUCUU